GGAUGCGAUCAUACCACUACUAAAGCACCGGAUCCCAUCAGAACUCCGAAGUUAAGCGUGCUUGGGCGAGAGUAGUACUAGGAUGGGUGACCUCCUGGGAAGUCCUCGUGUUGCAUUCC
rnacentral:rRNA from 1 species